rnacentral:rRNA from 1 species
GCCGGAAUUGCUAGUAAUGGCAGGUCAGCAUACUGCCGUGAAUACGUUCCCGGGCCUUGUACACACCGCCCGUCACACCAUGAGAGUUGGGAAUACCCGAAGCCUGUGAGCUAACAUUUAUGAGGCAGCAGUCGAAGGUAGAAUCAAUGAUUGGGGUGAAGUCGUAACAAGGUAGC